CCUACGGGGGGCAGCAGUGAGGAAUAUUGGUCAAUGGCCGAGAGGCUGAACCAGCCAAGUCGCGUGAGGGAAGACGGCCCUACGGGUUGUAAACCUCUUUUGUCGGGGAGUAAAGAGAGUCACGUGUGACUCAUUGAGAGUACCCGAAGAAAAAGCAUCGGCUAACUCCGUGCCAGCAGCCGCGGUAAUCCGGAGGAUGCGAGCGUUAUCCGGAUUUAUUGGGUUUAAAGGGUGCGCAGGCGGAGGUGCAAGUCAGCGGUCAAGUUGCGGGGCUCAACCCCGUACUGCCGUUGAAACUGCAUGCCUUGAGUGCGGGAGAGGUAUGCGGAAUGCGUGGUGUAGCGGUGAAAUGCAUAGAUAUCACGCAGAACUCCGAUUGCGAAGGCAGCAUACCGGCGCGCAACUGACGCUCAGGCACGAAAGCGUGGGUAUCGAACAGGAUUAGAUACCCUUGUAGUC
rnacentral:rRNA from 1 species